rnacentral:rRNA from 1 species
UACGGGGGGAGCAAGCGUUGUUCGGAUUUACUGGGCGUAAAGGGCGCGUAGGCGGCACCGCAAGUCGACUGUGAAAUCUCCGGGCUUAACCCGGAAAGGUCAGCCGAUACUGCGGGGCUAGAGUGCAGAAGGGGCAACUGGAAUUCUCGGUGUAGCGGUGAAAUGCGUAGAUAUCGAGAGGAACACCUGCGGCGAAGGCGGGUUGCAGGGCUGACACUGACGCUGAUGCGCGAAAGCUAGGGGAGCGAACGGG